UUUCGCAAUGCCCGAAAGGGUGACGAAGCGACGCCGCGUGGGUGAGGAAGGCCUUCGGGUUGUAAAGCCCUGUCAGGAGUUAAGAAAUGUAAGUGCGCUAAUACCGCAUUUAUUUGACGAAGGCUCCAAAGGAAGUCACGGCUAACUCUGUGCCAGCAGCCGCGGUAAUACAGAGGUGGCAAGCGUUGUUCGGAAUUAUUGGGCGUAAAGAGCACGUAGGUGGGUUUGUAAGUCAGAUGUGAAAGCCUCCUGUUCAACGGGAGAAUUGCAUCUGAAACUACAGAUCUUGAGUGUAGGAGGGGAGAAUGGAACUUCUGGUGGAGCGGUGAAAUGCGUAGAUAUCAGAAGGAACGCCGGCGGCGAAAGCGAUUCUCUGGCCUAUUACUGACACUCAGUGUGCGAAAGCUAGGGUAGCAAACGGGAUUAGACACCCCGGUAGUCCUAGCCGUAAACGAUGGGCACUAAGUAGAGGGGUUUUA
rnacentral:rRNA from 1 species